GUAGGUGAACCUGCGGAAGGAUCAUUAAUGAAUAAACUUGAUGGAUUGUUGCUGGCUCCUAGGAGUAUGUGCACAUCUGUCAUUGUUUCAUUCUUUCUCCACCUGUGCAUCUUUGUAGGCUUGAAUCCUCUCAAGAGAUAUGUAUUCUCUUGGAAAUAAGGACUGAUUUCUCACCUAGAGAAAGCUAUCCUUUACAUUCAAGUCUAUGUUUUUAUCUACACCCUAUUAGAAUGUUUAUGAAUGUAUUACA
rnacentral:misc_RNA from 1 species